rnacentral:lncRNA from 1 species
GUGUUGACAUCGUAUCAGGAAGCCACUACACUGCAAACACUCUUCCUUACUCUCAGAAAAAAGCAAUUAAAAUAAGAGAAAAGAGCUAGUUUGUCAAGAGGAUUACAAAGUGGUAUGAAGGGACCCUUGGAUUAUAGUAGGGCCCUGCCAAGACCCAGGGCAGAACAAUGGCACAGCUAUAAGUCUCUGGACUGAAGAAGGGAACGCUGCUGGAGCUCAGCACAAGGGAUAGAUUACAGUUCCUCAAAGGAACAACGGGCCAAGCCUUCCAGGCCUGACAAACAGCUACAGCAACCCAUCUGGUCAAACAAGCCCAUGUGGGGCCUUCACUGGAGUACUAGAGAAGGAGAAGCAACAUCAGUCAUGGUGAGAACACAGGGACACUUGAGCAGAUGGACACCAAUAGAAAAGGAUCUUAAUUCACAACUUGAAGCUAUUCUCCCUUGCAGUACAUAACUUCACCUUGGGAAAUAACCCACUGAACGGUGAACACUUUAUAAUUGUCCUAACACUCAAACAAAGGAGAACUAUCUUGCUGGCUUUGUCACAUGCAGAUGUCAGGCAGCAUAGGUCUUGUGCUGUCGUUGCUGAGAACAGGCUGCAUACAGACUCCCGCUGGAAGUCACUGAGGCCCUGUGAAGCAUGGUAUAAGGUGCUGUCAGUGGCCUGGACUGCCAGCCGAAACCAUGUUGAUGCCUGUGGCCUGUGCUAUAGCCAGAUACCAAGUGGGAGUCCAUGAACCACACUGCCACUGGCUGUGAAGGGCAAGGAAGCGUCUUUUGUCAUGGCUUUGAUGACUGCAGACUCACAGUUGAGAAAGGGAGAAAUAGAAGGUUUCUACGAUGCUCCUCCCCACCCCCACCCCCAUGUCUGGACUGGAAGCCAUUAAAGAUGCUGAGGUACA